CCUACGGGAGGCAGCAGUGAGGAAUAUUGGUCAAUGGACGCAAGUCUGAACCAGCCAUGCCGCGUGCAGGAAGACGGCGCUAUGAGUUGUAAACUGCUGUUGUACGAGGGUAAACGCAGAUACGCGUAUCUGUCUGAAAGUAUCGUACGAAUAAGGAUCGGCUAACUCCGUGCCAGCAGCCGCGGUAAUACGGAGGAGUCAAGCGUUAUCCGGAGUUAUGGGGUUUAAAGGGUGCGUAGGCGGUCGGAGAAGGUAGAGGUGAAAUCCCGAGGCUCAACUUCGGAAUUGCCUCUGAUACUGUUCGGCUAGAGCGUAGUUGCGGUAGGCGGCCU
rnacentral:rRNA from 1 species